UUUCCGCCAGAGAACUACAAGUGAAAAACUUGAAACUCAAAGGACUUGACGGUGUCCCAUAUCGACCUAGAGGAGCCUGUCCUAUAAUCGAUACCCCCCGUUCCACCCAACCUUAACUAGCAAAUAUCAGCCUAUAUACCGCCGUCGAUCAGCCUACCCUAUGAAGGUCUAAUAGUAGACAAAAUAGCCCAACCGCUAAUACGUCAGGUCAAGGUGUAGCAAAUGUUAAGGAAGAGAUUGGCUACAUUUUUUAAUAUAAAAAACACGAAAAGCACUAUGAAACCGUUCAUGAAGGUGAAUUUAGUAGUAAAAUAAAUAAGAGUAUUUAUUUUAACAACGCUCUGGGACGCGUACACACCGCCC
rnacentral:rRNA from 1 species